rnacentral:rRNA from 1 species
UAGGGAAUCUUCCGCAAUGGGCGAAAGCCUGACGGAGCAACGCCGCGUGAGUGAUGAAGGUCUUCGGAUCGUAAAACUCUGUUAUUAGGGAAGAACAAAUGUUUAAGUAACUAUGCACGUCUUGACGGUACCUAAUCAGAAAUCCACGGCUAACUACGUGCCAGCAGCCGCUGUAAUACGUAGGUGGCAAGCGUUAUCCGGAAUUAUUGGGCGUAAAGCGCGCGUAGGCGGUUUUUUAAGUGUGAUGUGAAAGCCCACGGCUCAACCGUGGAGGGUGAUUGGAAACUGGAAAACUGGAGUGCAGAAGAGGAAAGUGGAAUUCCAUGUGUAGCGGUGAAAUGCGCAGAGAUAUGGAGGAACACCAGUGGCGAAGGCGACUUUCGGGUCUGUAACUGACGCUGAUGUGCGAAAGCGUGGGGAUCAAACAGG